UUUUUUUUUUUUUUAACCCAAGCUGACUACUCAGGUCCGCCAUAGACUCAAAAUAGUGUCCAGUUGUGAAAUGAGCAGUAGAAAUGAACCAAACCUCUGGUGUCUUUUUCUGAGGAUGUAAAGCAGAGAGAGGCCUCUACUUUAUUUCCUCUCUGUUUAGAGCAUUCAGUCAAUAGUACCAGCUUCUUUGGCUCCAAGUGUGGGAUUCAGGAGGUGUCCUGAAUCAUCUGAAGUGGCAGCCCAGGGCUGUUCUGAACCAAGCUGAGAAAGUGGCACAAUGCUGUGUUGCAGGAAGUGAAAGAUGCCCCUUAGCCUCUGUGUCACUUGCUCAUGCUAGUGACACAGUCAGCAACUACAGAUACAGAGAAGACAGCCACACAGGCUUGGAAGCAGGCAUUGGCCUUUGGGACAAGGAACCCCAGUGGCCCUCACUCCCAGAGCAUGGCCUAAAAAGGUAUGUGUGUGUGUGUGUGUGUGUGUACAUGCAUGAGUAUAUACCUGCACACGUGCACAUGCAUGUGUGUACGUGUGUGUGCAUGUGUGCGUGCUGUGGUUGGGCACAUCACCAUGAGUAUGUUGGAGCAAGGAUUUUCUUUUCUCAAGC
rnacentral:lncRNA from 1 species